CGCCGCGUCCUCCAGCCUCCCCCAACAGCACGCUCUCCAGCCUCAGCGGCAAGCGCGGCGCGCCAUCUGCUCCGGCGGCGGUGGCAGCGAGGACUCCGGCGGCGGAUCCCGCAAGAAGCUCCGCCUCUCGAAGGACCAAGCCGCCGUCCUCGAGGACACCUUCAAAGAGCACAACACCGUCAACCCUAUAAGCAAGCAAACAAACAAUCAAAAAGCAGAAGGCGGCGCUGGCGAGGCAGUUGAAUCUGAAGCCGUAGCAGGUGGAGGUGUGGUUCCAGAACAGGAGGGCGAGAACGAAGCUGAGGCAGACGGAGGUGGACAGCGAGCUGCUCUAAGGCAGACGGAGGUGGAGGGAGUCAAAGUGGACUUAUUAAAUCAACGUGGACAGGUUGGAGAGGGAGGCCGGGCUCUGGGGCGUACUGUAGAUUUUGGGCCGUUCUCUAUGGCCCAGGAUGCGGUGUCCGACUCCAACUAAGCCCAGAAGUUCUAUUCUAUCUGAAUAAGGAAAUACUCUUCUGUCUGUCUCCCCUUCUCUCGAAUUUUUUUUAUUUAUAAUUUUUUUUA